rnacentral:lncRNA from 1 species
AGAUGGACGGCGCUCUGCAGGGUCUGUGUAAGGGACAGAGAAUGAUUUCACAGAGUUUGAGGUGCUUAACUUCUUUUGAAAUGGGUUUAAAUUACUCCCAUUUCAGCCGCCAGGAACUGAAAAAAAAAAAAAUCAAGGUAUGUCUUACUGCCUCUCAGAAAGUUUCUUGCAGAUCUCCGGGUGUGGGAGGUCAUGAUGCUUUUCCAGGGAGAGUGAAAUCCCUCGUACGGGGAGUUUGGCAGCAUUAGAGUGAUAAAAGUAGGUGCCACGGACCCAAAAUCCUUCCUGGCACACGUGAGAGAAACUGCUAAAAUCCUUGCAGCCUCAGGUGUUGGUAUCAGUAGCUUUUGCCUUUAGUUUCUGAGUAAAACCUGCAGACUUUUCUUCUUAAAAAUGUCUUUUUUUUUCAGUUUUCUGCCCCGGCUGGGUGCUGAGGAGCGCGUUAACUCUGGUUUAACAGGUUGCAUUUCCACCCGGGGACCUGAACGCACGCACUGGGGAUGGGGAGGUUUUUUUGGAGGUGGCUUUUCUGGAAGGGUUUCAGGGAGCGCGGGGUGGCCCGGGUCUGGACAGAGGGAUGUCCGUCCGUGGGACACGAGCAUCACUUCCCAGUUUGGCCGCCUUCCGUGUGAUGGAGCGACGUAG